UACGUAGGGGGCAAGCGUUGUCCGGAUUUACUGGGCGUAAAGAGCGCGCAGGCGGCUUGGUAAGUCGGAUGUGAAAACCCGAGGCUCAACCUCGGGCGUGCAUCCGAAACUGCUCGGCUAGAGGUAGGUAGGGGAGAUCGGAAUUCCUGGUGUAGCGGUGAAAUGCGCAGAUAUCAGGAGGAACACCGGUGGCGAAGGCGGGUCUCUGGGCCGAUACUGACGCUGAGGAGCGAAAGCGUGGGGAGCAAACAGG
rnacentral:rRNA from 1 species